UGGGGAAUCUUGCGCAAUGGUCUAACGACUGACGCAGCGACGCCGCGUGUGGGAGGACGCCUUUCGGGGUGUAAACCACUGUUGCCCGGGACGAACACCUCUUUUCGAAGAGGCUGACGGUACCGGGUGAGGAAGCACCGGCUAACUCCGUGCCAGCAGCCGCGGUAAUACGGAGGGUGCGAGCGUUGUCCGGAAUCAUUGGGCGUAAAGGGCGCGUAGGUGGCCCGGUCAGUCUUUGGUGAAAGCGCGGGGCUCAACCCUGCGUCGGCCAGGGAUACUGCCGCGGCUCGAGCACUGUAGAGGCAGGCGGAAUUCCGGGUGUAGCGGUGGAAUGCGUAGAGAUCCGGAAGAACACCGGUGGCGAAGGCGGCCUGCUGGGCAGUAUGGCUGACACUGAGGCGCGACAGCGUGGGGAGCAAACA
rnacentral:rRNA from 1 species